GUAGCCCUACGGGGCGCAGCAGUGGGGAAUAUUGCACAAUGGGGGAAACCCUGAUGCAGCGACGCCGCGUGAAGGACGAAGUAUUUCGGUACGUAAACUUCUAUCAGCAGGGAGGAAAAUGACGGUACCUGACCAAGAAGCCCCGGCUAACUACGUGCCAGCAGCCGCGGUAGUACGUAGGGGGCAAGCGUUAUCCGGAUUUACUGGGUGUAAAGGGAGCGUAGACGGCGAAGAAAGUCUGAAGUGAAAGCCCGCGGCUCAACCGCGGAAUGGCUUUGGAAACUUUUUUGCUGGAGUACC
rnacentral:rRNA from 1 species